CCCGGGGACGUUUUCCGGGAAUUAAUUGGGGCGUAAAGCGCAGCGCAAGGCGGUUUAAUUAAGUCUGAUGUUAAAUGCACUGGCUUAACCAGUGUUCUGUUUGUGAAUCUGGUAAACUUGGAUGCUCAAAGAGAGAGGGAAAUUUCCAGGGGUACCGGGGAAAGGCUUAAAGUUUGGAAGAAAUACCGGUGGCAAAGGCGGUCUCCUGGACGAAAAUGGACCCUAAGGUCCGAAAGCGGGGGAAGCAAACAGGAUUAAAUACCCGGGUAGUCCCCGCCGUAAACAAUGUCGACUUGUGUUUUGUGCUUUUCAGGCCUGACUUCCGGAGCUAACGCAUUAAGUCCUCCGCCUGGGGAGUACGACCGCAAGGUUGAAACUCAAAGGAAUUGACGGGGGCCCGCACAAGCGGUGGAGCAUGUGGUUUAAUUCGAAGCAACGCGAAGAACCUUACCUGGUCUUGACAUCCCGAUACUAUUCCUAAAAAGAGGAGGUUUCUUCGGAACCUCGGAGACAGGUGGUGCAUGGUUGUCGUCAGCUCGUGUCGUGAGAUGUUGGGUUAAGUCCCGCAACGAGCGCAACCCUUAUUGUUAGUUGCCAUCAUUAAGUUGGGCACUCUAGAGAAAAUGGCGGUUAAUAACCUGAAGAAAGUGGGGAAGACCUCCAAUCCUCCUGCCCCUUAUGAACUGGGCUACACACGUGCUACCAUGGUUGGUACCACGAAUCACGAAUCUCUGACGAGCAAGCAGAUCUUUUAAAGCCGAUCUCAAUUCGGAUUGGAAGCCGCAACUCGCCUACAUGAAGUCGGAAUCGCUAGUAAUCGCGGAUCAACACGCCGCGGUGAAUACGUUCCCGGGCCUUGUACACACCGCCCGUCACACCACGAGAGUUGGUUAGCACCCAGAAGUCGGUGAGGUAACCUUUUAGGAGGCAGCCGACCAAUGUGGGAUAAAUGAUUGGGGUGAAGUCUUACAGGUGGGGGGGAGAAAAAAAAAAAAAA
rnacentral:rRNA from 1 species